UUACGGCAUCAGCAUGUGUGGCUCAAAUUAAAUCUUUUCACUCUGAAACUUCUGUUUUCCACAGAAAGACCCACUAAUGACUCAGAGCUGUAGUGCAAAGCCAGCGCAGACUGCCAACUGUGUUCGGUCAGGAUCUGCCUUUAAGAGUUUUGUGGCUUUGGCAGCCAGGAGACGGCAGGAAAGGCCAUCAAACGGGAGCAGAACAUGGUGUGUGCCGUCGGGAGGAAACCAAGACAGAGUUGCUUUGGUUCUGAAGGCCAGCUCAGGCUUUGGAGACAUUUUAGAGCCAAACCUCUUCAGUAGUUCAUUCAAGGCCUGCUUUGACCUCAGUGGAGGCGGGGCUCACUGCCAGCAAGGCGGCCAUCGUGGCUGACCGCUUCUAACCGUUCUCAGAAGAUGACGUGUUUUUGGAAGCUCUGUCGGGAUCUUAACAAUGAAACCACACAAAAAGACAAAGUGGGAAUGAAGCUCCUGCAGGUCAUUUUUAAGAGACUUUUCUGUGUCAGCUCAAACUAAACAUCCCAAAAAUCAGUUUAUGCUGGUUUGUCCCUAAAUCAUACACUUUAAAUUCCUGAACCAACAUUUUUUCUUUUCUUUUUAGAAGUUAAGCAUUUUUUACUGAUUGUUUCAUUUUUAGAGUCAUCGUGUCAGGUUUCUGACAUUUUACACAAAAAUACUAUUAUAUUGGCUUUGAAAUAUUAUUCUUGCCUCUGAGAUACUCUUGAUAUAUUUAGGGAUCUGUUGGAAGAACAUAAUCUCCCAUCUAACAUUAUUUAAAAAAUAAAUACUUCCUAAAUAAUAGUAAUAACUAUGGAACAAUAACAAUUUGUAUAAACAAACUUAUUUUUUUUUCAGUUCUGACUUCAAUGAGUUAUCUUAAAAUAACGUCAAAAAUAUUAAGAUUUUUGUUUUAAUUGGAAAGUUUAUGUGUAAAUUUCUGAUGAUGUGUUUUGACUGUAAGGAGUAAAGCAUCCGUGUGCGUUGAACAGACCUCAAGAUGUAACUGCUACUGACUUUAGUCAUAUACACCAACUGAGCCUCAUCUUCCGCUCAGGCACAUUUAACCCCCCCCCCCCUUUUUUUUUUAAAUAACCUACAGUGCGCUUUAUAAUCCCGAACACAUUAUAUAUGGAUUAAGACUGGUUGUACUUAAAGACCUCAGACCUCUCAGUCCAAAAAAGCGCAGUGCUAAGAACAGCUAAGAAACUGCGCAGGACCCACAAGUUCUCAGUCCUCUGGUAGAGGACCCGGGCUUGAGGGAGAAACCACCCGCAGAGGGUGAGUGGGGCGAGGAGUUUUUUAUGUAUAAAAUAGGGACUUUGUGUAGUCAAAAUGGUCACAGUAUAACUAACCCAGGAAAAGAACAAAACCUUUGGUUUGAAGCCUCAGAAAUCAGACUGAGUUCCAGGAACAGACUGCUUUAAAAGACUUACUCACAAGCCAUCAAAGCGCUUAAAACUUCAGCUGCAAAGGUUUGAAUUUGACUGCCCUAAAGAUCUACUUUAAUGCAGAGUUCCGGUCAGACACUGGUCUUGCUGAAAACAGUCUACUGGGUGGGGAGUGUCACAUGUGCUCCCGUAAUGAAAGCUUUCUGGGUAAUUUAACACGGAUGUUUUUCUUGACGAAUUACAGUCACGGACGAUUUGUCCUGGAAUAAAAUCACUGAGGUCAAUUAUCACAAAUGGGUGCGUUUUCCUUGUGAAUCCAAGGCUGGUGGGGGUUGUCUUCUAGCAGUUGGGGUGUGACGGCAGUCAUUUCCCUCCGGGUUCCACAGAUGCUGAGAAAAUGUUGAAGCUGAGAGCAAAUCCAGGAGUUCUUCAGGUAGCUAUGUCGGCUUUCUGCGAAUUUUACUGAACUGCCUGUAAAAAAAGUCUCUCAGGAAAUUCUUCUGCUUUAUUUUGGACUUUUACCUGGGGCUGUUUGUUGACGUAGCAGAAAUCUGAGCAAGAAUCAGGAGAAGAAAUGUAGGAACUUUCAAAACAUUUUGACCUCUUUAACCAUGUAAUGGAAAAAUAGGAGGCAGGCAAGAAAAAGGGUUUAACUGCAGAAAAAAAAACGUUUUACUAUCUUUGCUUCCACAACGAUCAGAGCACAGAGAAAGAAAGUGAAGCUGAGCACAUCAACAAGGCAUGUCAUGGUUUGGUUGUCAGACACCUUCAGUUUUACUUCCCCCUGGAAAGUUGCUGACUCAGCAGUCUGCCAAGUUGUGCUGGACCACCAUGAUUCAUGAGCUGGAAGUCCUCAGCAAUCUGUUUUAAUCACAGCAUAAAACAUAAAAGGACUAAAAUUGCCUUUCUCCCAACCACAAAGAGCCAUAAUGGCCAGCAGGAACGCCGUUUGGGGUCAGCAGGAUGGUUUCUGAGGUCGUG
ensembl:lncRNA